rnacentral:rRNA from 1 species
UACGGAGGGUGCAAGCGUUAAUCGGGAUUACUGGGCGUAAAGCGUGCGCAGGCGGUUUGUUAAGUCUGUUGUGAAAUCCCCGAGCUCAACUUGGGAAUUGCAAUGGAUACUGGCAGGCUGGAGUAUGGUAGAGGAAGGUGGAAUUCCCGGUGUAGCAGUGAAAUGCGUUGAGAUCGGGAGGAACACCAGUGGCGAAGGCGGCCUUCUGGACCAAUACUGACGCUCAUGCACGAAAGCGUGGGGAGCAAACAGG